UGAACGCUGGCGGCGUGCCUAACACAUGCAGGUCGAACGGAGAAUACAUUUUGAAGCAUUAGCUUGCUAAGAGUGGAAAUGUUGUAUCUUAGUGGCGGACGGGUGAGUAACGCGUGGAUAACCUGCCUCACACUGGGGGAUAACAGCGAGAAAUUGCUGCUAAUACCGCAUAAGCGCACAGCAUUGCAUGAUGGAGUGUGAAAAACUAAGGUGAUGUGAGAUGGAUCCGCGUCUGAUUAGCUAGUUGGUAGGGUAAGAGCCUACCAAGGCGACGAUCAGUAGCCGGCCUGAGAGGGUGAACGGCCACAUUGGGACUGAGACACGGCCCAAACUCCUACGGGAGGCAGCAGUGGGGGAUAUUGCACAAUGGGGGAAACCCUGAUGCCAGCGACGCCGCGUGAGUGAAGAAGUAUUUCGGUAUGUAAAGCUCUAUCAGCAGGGAAGAAAAUGACGGUACCUGACUAAGAAGCCCCGGCUGACUACGUGCCAGCCGCCGC
rnacentral:rRNA from 1 species